UGGGAGAUAUUGCACAAUGGGCGCAAGCCUGAUGCAGCCAUGCCGCGUGUAUGAAGAAGGCCUCGGGUUGUAAAGUACUUUCAGCGAGGAGGAAGGCGAUAAGGUUAAUAACCUUGUCGAUUGACGUUACUCGCAGAAGAAGCACCGGCUAACUCCGUGCCAGCAGCCGCGGUAAUACGGAGGGUGCAAGCGUUAAAUCGGAAUUACUGGGCGUAAAGCGCACGCAGGCGGUCUGUCAAGUCGGAUGUGAAAUCCCCGGGCUCAACCUGGGAACUGCAUCCGAAACUGGCAGGCUAGAGUCUUGUAGAGGGU
rnacentral:rRNA from 1 species